AGUGGCGGACGGGUGAGUAACGCGUGAGAAUCUACCUUCAGGACGGGGACAACAGCUGGAAACGGCUGCUAAUACCCGAUAUGCCGAAAGGUGAAAAGUUUUUUCGCCUGGAGAGGAGCUCGCGUCCGAUUAGCUAGUUGGUGAGGUAAAAGCUUACCAAGGCGACAAUCGGUAGCUGGUCUGAGAGGAUGAGCAGCCACACUGGAACUGAGACACGGUCCAGACUCCUACGGGAGGCAGCAGUGGGGAAUUUUCCGCAAUGGGCGAAAGCCUGACGGAGCAACGCCGCGUGGGGGAAGAAGGUUUUUGGAUUGUAAACCCCUUUUCUCAAGGAAGAACAAAUGACGGUACUUGAGGAAUCAGCCUCGGCUAACUCCGUGCCAGCAGCCGCGGUAAUACGGAGGAGGCAAGCGUUAUCCGGAAUUAUUGGGCGUAAAGCGUUCGUAGGCGGCUGUUCAAGUCUGCUGUCAAAGACCGAGGCUCAACCUCGGGUAGGCAGUGGAAACUGGAUAGCUAGAGGUCGGUAGGGGCAGAGGGAAUUCCCAGUGUAGCGGUGAAAUGCGUAGAUAUUGGGAAGAACACCGGUGGCGAAAGCGCUCUGCUGGGCCGAACCUGACGCUGAGGGACGAAAGCUAGGGGAGCGAAUGGGAUUAGAUACCCC
rnacentral:rRNA from 1 species